rnacentral:lncRNA from 1 species
CAGAAGAAACUUGAUGAGACCACCAGAUUGCUCAGGGAACUCCAGGAAGCCCAGAAUGAACGUUUGAGCACCAGACCCCCUCCGAACAUGAUCUGUCUCUUGGGUCCCUCAUACAGAGAAAUGCAUCUUGCUGAACAAGUGACCAAUAAUCUUAAAGAACUUGCACAGCAAGUAACUCCAGGUGAUAUCGUAAGCACGUAUGGAGUUCGAAAAGCAAUGGGGAUUUCCAUUCCUUCCCCCGUCAUGGAAAACAACUUUGUGGAUUUGACAGAAGACACUGAAGAACCUAAAAAGACGGAUGUUGCUGAGUGUGGACCUGGUGGAAGUUGAGGCUGCCUGAUGUAAAACACCCCUUUCAGCUUCAUUUACCAGAAUGCCUCUGUGAGAAAUGCUGUCAUUGCCAGGCCCACCAGGGA